rnacentral:lncRNA from 1 species
UGAAUUGUGACUUUUUUUACCUGUGACCCUCUGUCAUACAUUCAAAAAUAUGUUAUUCAAGAUUUCAGCUUAACAAAACGGGUGUGAAUAUACCUGUGAUUUUAAGUGAUAUACAUGGUGAAACUACGUAGUAACAGCUUGUUAUAUAUCAAAUCACGUUAUCUCACAAGUCAUGGAAUGGUUAAUAUAAUAAACACAAUAAGUAAGCUCAUCAUAAAAUAAGCCAUUGAUCUACAACGCUUUAAGACUUCAUCCCGGCGUCAUAAUUCUAUUACUUCAAGAAAAAAAUAUUUUUGACGUUCUAGUAACUUGAUAAAGG